rnacentral:rRNA from 1 species
UACGGGGGAGGCAAGCGUUGUUCGGAAUUACUGGGCGUAAAGGGCUCGUAGGCGGCCAACUAAGUCAUACGUGAAAUCCCUCGGCUUAACCGGGGAACUGCGUCUGAUACUGGAUGGCUUGAGUUCGGGAGAGGGAUGCGGAAUUCCAGGUGUAGCGGUGAAAUGCGUAGAUAUCUGGAGGAACACCGGUGGCGAAGGCGGCAUCCUGGACCGAUACUGACGCUGAUGAGCGAAAGCCAGGGGAGCAAACGGG